rnacentral:rRNA from 1 species
UACGUAGGGUGCAAGCGUUGUCCGGAAUUAUUGGGCGUAAAGAGCUCGUAGGCGGUCUGUCGCGUCUGCUGUGAAAACCUGGGGCUUAACCCCGGGCCUGCAGUGGGUACGGGCAGACUAGAGUGCGGUAGGGGAGACUGGAAUUCCUGGUGUAGCGGUGAAAUGCGCAGAUAUCAGGAGGAACACCAAUGGCGAAGGCAGCACUCUGGGACGUGACUGACGCUGAGACGCGAAAGCGUGGGGAGCAAACAGG